rnacentral:tRNA from 1 species
GGAGAGAUGGCCGAGCGGCUUAAGGCGCACGCUUGGAAAGCGUGUGUACGUUAAUAGCGUACCCAGGGUUCGAAUCCCUGUCUCUCCG